CACCAGCAAGUUCUUCAGUCACACAUAUUAUUUUGAACUCGGUUGGGCAUGGCUAUGUGACUUGCCUAGAGCUGUGGAAUGUAAGGGGAAGUGAUGUGUAUCACUUCUAGACAGAGUUGAGAUGGGUCUUCUAUAGUCUCCUUCUCUACCAUGUGGACCAGCAAAACACACCAUGUGCUACGGUUUAGAUCUGGAAUGUCCCCUAAAGGCCCCCAUGUUAAGGGCUUGGUCCCCAGCCUGGUGUUAUUUGAAGACUGUGGAAAUUUAGAGCCAUGAAGUGAGCAGUUUUGCUCCACCACAUGCUCCUGCCAUGAUGUGCUGCCUCACCACAGACCCAGAGCAAUAGAGCCAAUGCACCCUGGACUGAAACUUCUAAAACUUGAAGCCAGCAAUCGGGACAAACCAUAGAAGACAGACACCUGCCAAAUAGCCUGGCUACCUGCAGUGCAGAAACUGAGGCCCAGAGAGACAAGAAGACCUUGUCAUAAAUCAUUCAGGUGGAAAUGGCAAAGGCGGGACUUGAUCCAAUCUUACUUAAUUUGAAAGGUGAAAAAUCCUCCAGCCCAGCAACAGGUGUGAGAUGGCAGCUGAUUGGUGGCAUGACCGUGGUGUUUUCAUAGAGGAAGCAAGUGUACCCAGUCAAAGCAGCAAGGAGUAAUCUGGGUCAGCAGCCCUUCCACAGGAACUGGAGCCACAAAAGAAUCCAAGUCAUCCCCUGUGAUGUAUGUUACAGUGUGGAAGGUCAACCUGCUGCUCCAGUUCACCUAAAUCUUUUGCCAGGACAUGGCCAUUUCAAGUGAAGCAUGUCUGUGCCCUGGACCUUUCCAAACCAGUUAUUCAGUAACAAUGAAUUGGAAGAACUGGCUUCACCACUCCCUACCAAAAUGACUUGUUAACUAUGGACUCUAUGUUAAUGAUAAUAUCUCAAAUGGGAAGGAAAGAGGAAAACAGUGGUUAAAGGCAGAAGGCUUGCACAGGUUGCAAAACAACAAACAAAAGAAGAAAAUAUAACCCAGCAAUUAGUUGUUUAAAAAAAUGGUGCUAAGUAAAUGUGCACACUGCCCUUGAGACUUCGUUGAAUUUCUAUCUGGCUUACAUUAUGGUAGGGAGCUUCCCUGCACUAUUGGAAAACAGUAUUCCAAAAGUAAUUCAAUCUUCUCUCCCCUUUCCUUCACAGGACUGGCCUUUGAAUAUUUUCUUAGAUUCACUGAAAAAAAAAAAAAUUCCAGCACUACAUUAGAAUGCUUAUUAAAUGUUGCCAAGCAAAGAAACUGCUGCUGAGAAUUAAUCUCUUGGGGGACUGGACCAUAUACAUGUCCAGACUUGUCUUCUCACUACAGCUCACUAACUAACCCAUAUCCAGGACACUGUGUCCUUCAGUCUAGUUACAGAAAGCUCUGGGGACACUAACUCUAAAAGGAUCAACUGCUUUUAAUAUUUCUGCAUGCAAUAAGCAUGUAGUUGUGUCAUUUAUAGUAAUAUUUGGUGGCUCGCUCUGUAGGGUGUCAUAUUUUAAAAUAUGUUCCUACAUUAUGGAAAUGAAAUGCAGCAUGACUGGAACACUGUACAGAUCCAGUGGGCAGUAUUCAAAUAGGGUCUAUGGUAGCUUAUGGAGUCGUAUAAUACACAUGAACCUCCUUGAGUAGUCACUCUGAUUCAGUCAUUUGAUAGCUGUUAGGUGUAGGCUGAUGGGAAAAGACUGACAAUAUGUACUUCAGAGACAGUAGUGGAGGACAUUAGGGUUAGAGUGGGGCAGAAUUCAGCCUAGGUGAUUAGAGGUAAGAUUUAUGUUAUCUAUCAAGUUUUAAAAGAGCUGGUGAAGGAGAUGGUAAGGCUCUGAUUCCUAGGAGGUUCCAGGUUCAGGGUGUGGUUGACCUCAAAUUCCAGAGGGGACUGGGCAACAGCCAACAAAAUAUAGGCAUUCCCCAGCAUACAACUUUUCUGAAGGUAUGUUUGUAUAUCUGUGCAUUAGACAAGAAGAAAAUGUAAAAAAAAAAAUUUGUGGCACUUUAUUGUUUGGGCAGAGCUUGCUUUCUAUGGAAUCUGAAAGCUUCCGGAUGAAUAUGCUCCAUAGAAAGGGCUCUCUUUUGCCAGCAGUUUUCCAGCCAGCACUAAUCAGCAAGUGUAGAACCCUCCUUUUGAGAUCCUAAAUGGAGCUGAGUUGUUGUCACAGUUACCAGGAUACAGUUUUUGAAGCCAUAAUGUUUUCAACAAGGGCAGCCUUGGGCUGUGUAUCUUGGGUUUCUGACUAGGCCACAGACCUAAGAUUUUAUUCUGUUUCUUUUAUCCUGCUCCCUGUACCUAUUCAGGAGCCUGACUAAUGAAUGACUUCAAUAAUCAUCCUAGUUUCAGCCCAGCUCAAACUUACUACCUGCACUUGGUUUAACUAUACAAGAUCACCCUGACCUGGAAGCAUCCAACUGUGGCUCAAGGCAUGCCUUCUACAAACUAAGACAGUUUCCAGGUUUUCCUCACGCAUUCAACUGCUUCUAAUCAAAAGACACUUGUGAAGUACUUCUCUGCACUUCCCAUGUUAAUAAGGCAUCCCAACACUUAUGUAUCUUAUAUAGCCUACUUAAGGGGGGAAAUAUCAUAAAUAUACAUAUUUUAUCUAUGAAGGAGGGUUUAUAAAGGUGAUGCCCAGGGCCCCACAACAAGAACCCAUCAUGACACGUGAUAACUAGGAUUCAAAUUCAGGGCUCUUAAAUUGCAAAGAUAGUCCUUUUUCUCCAAAUAAUGGCUGCCACUUUAGCUGCUGAGAAUUGGUAGCUGCAAGGGAAACUCACCAUCGCCUAA